AGACUGUUUUUGAGGGUAAGAGAUGGAAGAAAGGAAGCUGCUUGCCAUCAUCCUACUCAGCGCUCAUUUAACCACGUUGGAAUGCGACUUGAAAUUUCUAUCAAGGAAAUACAACAUCCGAAAGACGGAACGUUACAUUCAUGGGCAUAUUUGACAAACAAAACAAGAAUCGCAUAUCUGUUUCUCGCAAAGGUGGUCCAUACAACAUGACAGAAGAAAUCGUAUUUUACAAUAAGGCACACCACUGUGCUGUGAUUAUGAUCUCGAUGCGUAUUACCGGUGGGCUACGCAUGUAUGACUUGCGAGUUUGGAACUCAACCACGGUAGUCGGCAAUGCUCGCCCCUGUCUUCGAAAGUUCACAGAGCUGGAACCCAAAAGACAUUGUAUUUACGAAAACUUCUGCAAGGGCCUAUUUCAUACGAGUUCAAGAUCACCGCAGCUGAUUCAGCAAAGCGCACAAAGCCCACGGCAAAGGUUAUAGAAAAUGGGACGCGAAAUAUAAGUUCGCUCAACAAACCACGCUGCGGGGCUAGUUGGUGAUGAAUUAUUUUUCUUUCUUACGAAACUAAUCCAGCACUACUUUUUAAGACGAGACAAACUUUAAGUGUAAUUAUUUAGGUGCAUAACAUUUAAGUAUGGAUAUGUUAUACAGUACUUUUUCAUCUGUAAUCUACGAGUUGCAAGUGAAAUAACGUCUUAAAAACAAAUAAAAGAUUGAUACCAAGA
rnacentral:misc_RNA from 1 species